rnacentral:lncRNA from 1 species
UGAAUAUCAAUAAUGUGGUCAUUUUUAUAAAUUUCCUGUUUACAAAACUUUGAUUUUUUUGAAAAAAUAAGGAUUUUCUUAUCCCAGGCAUAGAUUACCUUGGCCGUAUUUGGCACAACUUUUCGGAAUUUUGGAUCUCAAUGCUCUUCAACUUUUUACUUGUUUGGCUUUAUAAAGAUUUUGAUAUGAGCGUCACUGAUGAGUCUUAUGUAGACGAAACGCGCGUCUGGCGUACUAAAUUAUAAUCCUGGUACCUUUGAUAACUAUUGGUACAGGACAUUUUUAAGAAAAAAGAGUUUAACCUGGUUUUGUGGCAUGCCAUAAACGAUAUGACAUCUGGUGGCAAUUAUAAUAGAAAAAGAGAUAAAAUAGCAAGUAAUAUCAGUCAAUAAAAAUAGAAAAUAAUACCCCCGAGUUCAUAUAUUUUCGGACUAGCGGAGAGAAUAAUAAGAAAACGCCAACAAAUCAAACUAACUUGAAUCAUAUUAUAAUAUUGGAAGGGUGUAUUUAGCUGUAACCACAUUUUUGACUACUACACCCAUUAUAAUGAACAAUUUUGGAUUAUUCAAGCAACUGUGACACUAUGUUACCACUAAACAUAUUAAGUCAAAUGAAAGAAAAC